rnacentral:tRNA from 1 species
UCCCUGGUAGUUCAGUGGUUAGGACUCAGCGUUUUCAUUGCUGGGGCCCAGGUCCAAUCCCUGGUCAGGGAA